AUUGAACGCUGGCGGCAUGCCUUACACAUGCCAGUCGAACGGCAGCACGGGAGCAAUCCUGGUGGCGAGUGGCGAACGGGUGAGUAAUACAUCGGAACGUGCCCAGUAGUGGGGGAUAACCCGGCGAAAGCCGGACUAAUACCGCAUACGACCUACGGGUGAAAGCGGGGGAUCGCAAGACCUCGCGCUAUCGGAGCGGCCGAUGUCAGAUUAGCUAGUUGGUGGGGUAAAGGUCUACCAAGGCGACGAUCUGUAGCUGGUCUGAGAGGACGACCAGCCACACUGGGACUGAGACACGGCCCAGACUCCUACGGGAGGCAGCAGUGGGGAAUUUUGGACAAUGGGCGCAAGCCUGAUCCAGCCAUGCCGCGUGCGGGAAGAAGGCCUUCGGGUUGUAAACCGCUUUUGUCAGGGAAGAAACGCUCCGGGCUAAUACCACGGAGUAAUGACGGUACCUGAAGAAUAAGCACCGGCUAACUACGUG
rnacentral:rRNA from 1 species